rnacentral:tRNA from 1 species
UUAAUUGAAACCAAAAAAGAGGUAAAUUAUUGUUAAUAAUUUUAUUGAAUAAUAAAAUUUUAUUCCAAUUAAA